rnacentral:lncRNA from 1 species
UCUAGCGUCGCAAUCCACAAAACUAAAUCUGGACAACAGCACAGAAGAAAAUGAAUAGGCUGGCACUUGUCCAUUUCUCUGUGAUAACAUUUCAUCGAUAUGCCUAGCCUUCUGAGCAAAACGGAGUCCAUCCAAAGUCCAUAUCUGGUAGGCUACUAGUGUUGGCCAACACAAUUUUGUCCAUUUUUUCCUUUGAUUGACAGGUGCCAGUGACGCAAAUAAAACCUCCGUUGUUAUUUUUGGCCGUGUUGAACAUCACCUAGGUUAGUAAGUAGGCUAUUGAGGACUUGAUUGCAAUCAAACUUCCUAAGAGUGACACUUCGUGAUUGGGGAUCGUAAUGGAGCUAUGCAUUUCUCAUGACAAUCAAAGCUGCUGAAAUAAAGUAUCCCACUCACAGAAAAGGCGACACGUCAGUGGUCGUGAAGAAGCUUAAUUUCGUGCCAGAGGGAGGUAAUGCUAUGACUCACGUGUGCGUGCGUUAAAGUGGAUAAAUAGGCGAUUCAGGCGCUCAGAAAUAAUUAAAAAAUGACACAUUCUUGAGGGGAAAAAAGGUCAUUCGCACGCUGCUGGAUUGAAUUUUUCGUACUCCAUUGGUAUUCCGGUGUCGUUGGCUUUGGACUGUCUUGCGUCUCAGAACGUUGGGUGGAUAGAGAACUGUAAUUCGGUUCUUUGGUGAUAGUUUCUGGACACGACAACCUGUGCACCCGCAGACGCAACCGAUUGGUUAUUUUCGUUGAUAAUCUGAUAAGAGUCCCGGAGCGCACGGGAAUAACGGAGGACUGAUGGCCACGUCUGAACCGACAGCCGCUGGCGGGGACCAGGACCCCAACUCCGCCAAUUUACGACCUUCAUCCACAAACUAUGACGCGUGGAUGCAAGGAUGCACGCGGAAACUGGGGAUGAAGAUCUGUGGUAAGUUUUAGACCCAUGAACCAUCAACAACGGCAAUCUAAUUUGAUUCACUGCAAUAGCCUACGAGAAACGUUGCCAUUUGACUUUGUAGGCAUAUGAAGCCUCAUAGGCCCAUCUCCAUACCCAGCAUAAUGAUGCUAUAAUAUGCUAAUAUUAGGGCAAGGCCGUCGCUGACUGUCACUCCACAUUCUCAUCUCCUAAAGGUCAGUUGGCAAUUAGCUUUAGGCCAAGCACGGCGCGCCGGGGUUCCCGCCCCGACCCCGCGAGGCACCCCAUGUCCCUUCCUAUCCAUAUCUCUGCAGUUGGCAAAGGACAGGAUACAGGCCUACACUACAGCAAGUAACAAUCCGCCUCAGAAAUGUAGAAAAUGCCUAAACAUUUAAUAUUUGUCGAGAUAGAGCUGUCCAAUAGGUUUUUAAUGCAGAAUUAGCUGCUAACAUGGUGUGUGCAUAAACUAGGGCUACAGACUAAAUAAUACAUGUUCUAAUUCCAGUUUUGUAUUUUAUUUUAUUAUCAACGCCUUAUUAUUUUUUUUAAACAUUAAUUUCCUCGCCUUUCCGUUUGGAGGUGGUAUGGAUUUGGGUAUCUUUAUGCAAA